rnacentral:rRNA from 1 species
UACGGGAGGCAGCAGUGAGGAAUAUUGGUCAAUGGACGAGAGUCUGAACCAGCCAAGUCGCGUGAAGGAAGACGGAUCUAUGGUUUGUAAACUUCUUUAGUGCGGGAACAAAGUGGCGUCGUGACGCCUGAUGAGUGUACCGCAAGAAUAAGCAUCGGCUAACUCCGUGCCAGCAGCCGCGGUAAUACGGAGGAUGCGAGCGUUAUCCGGAUUUAUUGGGUUUAAAGGGAGCGCAGGCUGCGAGGCAAGUCAGCGGUCAAAUGUCGGGGCUCAACCCCGGCCUGCCGUUGAAACUGUCCUGCUAGAGUUCGAGUGAGGUAUGCGGAAUGCGUUGUGUAGCGGUGAAAUGCAUAGAUAUGACGCAGAACUCCGAUUGCGAAGGCAGCAUACCAACUCGCGACUGACGCUGAGGCUCGAAAGCGUGGGUAUCGAACAGGAUUAGAUACCCUGGUAGUCCACGCAGUAAACGAUGAAUACUAACUGUUCGGAGGGCGACCUCUGAGUGGUAAAGCGAAAGCGUUAAGUAUUCCACCUGGGGAGUACGCCGGCAACGGUGAAACUCAAA